rnacentral:rRNA from 1 species
UACAGGGGGGGCAAGCGUUGUUCGGAAUUACUGGGCGUAAAGGGCCAGUAGGCGGCCAACUAAGUCACACGUGAAAUCCCCAGGCUUAACCUGGGAACUGCGUCUGAUACUGGGAGGCUUGAGUGCGGGAGAGGGAUGCGGAAUUCCAGGUGUAGCGGUGAAAUGCGUAGAUAUCUGGAGGAACACCGGUGGCGAAGGCGGCAUCCUGGACCGGCAUUGACGCUGAGGCGCGAAAGCCAGGGGAGCAAACGGG